GUAGGGUGCAAGCGUUAAUCGGAAUUACUGGGCGUAAAGCGUGCGCAGGCGGUUUUGUAAGACUGUCGUGAAAUCCCCGGGCUCAACCUGGGAAUGGCGAUGGUGACUGCAAGGCUAGAGUUUGGCAGAGGGGGGUAGAAUUCCACGUGUAGCAGUGAAAUGCGUAGAUAUGUGGAGGAACACCGAUGGCGAAGGCAGCCCCCUGGGUCAAAACUGACGCUCAUGCACGAAAGCGUGGGGAGCAAACAGGAUUAGAUACCCUGGUAGUCCACGCCCUAAACGAUGUCUACUAGUUGUCGGGUCUUAAUUGACUUGGUAACGCAGCUAACGCGUGAAGUAGACCGCCUGGGGAGUACGGUCGCAAGAUUA
rnacentral:rRNA from 1 species